rnacentral:lncRNA from 1 species
UGCAGGUUGUUAGGGAAGUGAGGGAAAGCUGGCAGUCACAGGCCUCACCCAGCUCCCAUGCAAUCCAAAUGGCCAGUCUCACUCUCACCAUGCCCCCUCUAAAGCAUUGAGUCUGUUUCCAAGCAGUGGGUAAGCAGGGGUGAGAACUUGCCGCAGGCUACCCACCUCCCAGCUGUGAAAGAAAAGGGCUUUCGUUCUUCCCCCACCUGUGGAGUCUACACGCUGGAUUUGUGCCCUCCCUUGAGUUCUGGCCAGGAGGCUUCUCCACCUGUUCAAAUUGUUAUAAAGUUCAGCUGGAGACUUCCUUCUCUCCGUGGCAUUUUCCUCAUGCCUCUGGCCACCCUCCCAAAGGAUCCCUGUGAGGCCAGGCAGGAAUGGCCUGCUUGGGGACCCAGCAAGCUUCUAGGGCCUUUGCUGCUGCUUCCUCUACCCCUGUAUUUCGCUCGGCUCUCUAAAUGGACUCAGCUCCAGCUCUCUACUUACAGGUAAAUUGUCUUGUGAUUAUUUCCACAGAACUCUGACUUGGAUAAGACUUGUAUCCAUUUUAUUACGAUGUUCUUCUUUUUUACAAUUUAGUUCCCCAGAGGGCAAGACCAAGCUACCUAAGAUCGGAACCCUCUGAUAAUUUGUGCUGCUAUUUUAAGAUCCAGUUCCAUUCUACAACUGGCUGAAGCAUGAAGUCAACUAAAAUAAACUGAAUUGAGUGGAACUGAACUGAACUGAAGUGAAAUAAUGUGAUUUCCAGUAAACCUGACACCUUAAGGACAGAACAUGAGCCUUGCCCAUCUUCCUCCCAGAGGUCCCAGCACAAUCACCGACUCACACAAUACUCUCAGUGCAUGAGUGAUGAAUUUCACUAACAGCGACCCAUCUCUCUACAUAAUCCACUCCGGUUUCACCAGAGCUGAGAGUAUCAUGAAUUACAUCUAUAGAUAGCUGUAAGCUAAUGACCAAAGCACAUAACUGAAUUCAAACAUAUUCUUUAUUGCAGUCAGAUGUGAGAAAACAAAAUUUAGAAGACAAGCCAGAAAGGAAAUGAAGAACAUAAAGAGCCUGAAUUCUCAUCGUCAAUUUUUCCCUGACUGACUCCGUUUUCCUCUCUUCUUUCCAUUUACCUUUCUGUUCCCAUCCCCAUCAUUUUUGUAGUGUUUAUUGAGUGUCUGCUGCAUGCCAGUCAAUGUGCUGAGUACUUUUCAUGUGUUAUACCAUUUGAUCGUCACAGCAGCACACUAUUAUAAUUAUGAAUAUGAUUCCACAUACUAUAUCUAAAAUUUAACUUAAUUUUACAUAGGAGGAAGCUGAGACUUGCCCAAGACUACUCCAUUAGUAAGAUGUGAACCAAGUGAACCAUGUCUGACUCAAACCUAACCCCUGAUUCUCUGAAUCCAUAUCACCGUAGAACUCAACAGUGAAAUAUUGGGGUAGAGACAGGCUGCAUGGAGAUUGUAGCAUGAAUGCAGAUAUUGGAAAUUUACUGGAUGUAUGAUCAGACAAACCAAUUGAAGUGGAGAAGAGAACCAAUCAGCCAAAUCAUUACAGAAGUUGCACCACUGCCUGAAAUAUCUUGACUGAUUCUAUAUAAGUUGAAUUUUUGCCGAAUAAAUUCUGAAAAUAAUUACAAGCUUCCUUUUGAUUUGAAUGUUACACAUCAAGUUCUAGUAAGAGCUAAUUUUACAUCAUUGACAGAUAACAAAAUAGAAGGAACAAAGUGCCCUUUGAGUUAAGGGCACUCCAAUGUCCCGGAAUUUAACCUUUUUGUCAGAUCAAUAAGGUUUAGUGCAACUAGCCAGACACCUGUCC